rnacentral:rRNA from 1 species
GGAGGAAUAUUGGUCAAUGGACGAAAGUCUGAACCAGCCAUGCCGCGUGAAGGAAUAAGGCCCUAUGGGUCGUAAACUUCUUUUGUAUGUGAGCAAUAAGGUCCACGAGUGGUCCGAUGAGAGUAGCAUACGAAUAAGCAUCGGCUAACUCCGUGCCAGCAGCCGCGGUAAUACGGGGGAUGCGAGCGUUAUCCGGAUUCAUUGGGUUUAAAGGGUGCGUAGGCGGCUUUGCAAGUCAGCGGUGAAAGGCCCGGGCUCAACCCGGAAAGUGCCGUUGAUACUGUGAGGCUGGAAUGCGGAUGCUGUGGGAGGAAUGAGUGGUGUAGCGGUGAAAUGCAUAGAUAUCACUCAGAACACCGAUUGCGAAGG